rnacentral:rRNA from 1 species
UGGGGGAUAUUGCACAAUGGGCGAAAGCCUGAUGCAGCGACGCCGCGUGGGGGAUGAAGGCUUUCGGGUUGUAAACCUCUUUCGCUAUCGAACAAGGCCCGCUUAGGGUGGGUUGAGGGUAGGUGGAGAAGAAGCGCCGGCUAACUACGUGCCAGCAGCCGCGGUAAUACGUAGGGCGCGAGCGUUGUCCGGAAUUAUUGGGCGUAAAGGGCUUGUAGGCGGCUUGUUGCCCCUGCUGUGAAAACGCGGGGCUUAACUUCGCGCGUGCAGUGGGUACGGGCAGGCUUGAGUGUGGUAGGGGUGACUGGAAUUCCAGGUGUAGCGGUGGAAUGCGCAGAUAUCUGGAGGAACACCGAUGGCGAAGGCAGGUCACUGGGCCAUUACUGACGCUGAGGAGCGAAAGCAUGGGUAGCGAACAGG